CUAAUUAUAGAAAAUCUGAUCUUAUGCUUUCUCCAAUCAGCAGUAUACCAGACCUCAAAAUACUUAACUGGGUCUCUGAACUUGCGCUUCAAGAAAAUUUUAACAGACCUCGUCCAUGCCGAUUAUUUCCAGAAUAUGGUUUACUACAAGAUCUCUCAUGUGGAUCAUCGAAUAUCAAACCCAGAACAAAGGAUUGCGAGUGAUAUUCCGAAGUUCUGUUCUGAACUCAGUGAACUUGUACAGGAUGAUUUGGCUGCAGUUGCAGAAGGCUUGAUAUAUACCUGGCGUCUCUGUUCUUAUGCUAGUCCGAAAUACAUGCUUUGGAUUCUGGGAUAUAUACUAGUUGCUGGUGGAGCAAUUAGAAAUUUCUCUCCUGCUUUUGGAAAGAUGAAAUCUACAGAGCAGCACUUAGAAGGGGAGUAUCGUCAACUUCAUUCACGCUUAAGAACUCAUGCUGAGAGUGUAGCAUUUUAUGGUGGUGAGAAGAGAGAAGAAUAUCAUAUUAUGCACCGAUUCCGAGCUCUUGUUGGGCACUUGAAGCAUGUACUCCAUGAAAACUGGUGGUUCGGCAUGAUUCAAGAUUUCUUUCUGAAGUACUUCGGUGCCACUGUAGCAGUUGUUCUUAUUAUCGAACCGUUCUUCUCCGGCGACCUUAGACCUGAUUCAUCUACACUAGGAAGGGCUGAUAUGUUGAGUAACCUUCGAUACCACACGAGCGUGAUCAUAGCACUAUUUCAGUCUCUCGGGACCCUCUCUAUCAGCUCUAGGCGUUUGAAUAUCCUGAGUGGCUAUGCAGACCGGAUUCGUGAGUUACUAGAUGUUUCACGUGAGCUGUCUGGGGUCCGUGAUAGAUCGUUGAAUCACAGCUCUUCUAUCGGGAAUUACAUCAGCGAAGCAAACCAUAUAGAAUUUUCCGGCGUUAAGGUGGUGACACCCGCUGGGAAUGUUUUGGUUGACGAUUUAACUCUCCGAGUAGAAACUGGAUCUAAUCUUUUAAUCACCGGUCCCAAUGGUAGUGGAAAAAGCUCCCUUUUUCGGGUCCUUGGGGGCCUAUGGCCGCUAGUAUCUGGCCAUAUUGUCAAACCUGGUGUUGGUUCCGAUCUUAACAAGGAAAUCUUUUAUGUCCCACAAAGACCAUACACAGCUGUUGGCACACUUCGCGAACAGCUAAUCUAUCCUCUCACAGCAGAUCAGGAGACUGAACCACUUAGCUAUGAUGGCAUGGUGGACCUUCUAAAGAAUGUUGAUCUGGAAUACUUGCUAGAACGUUAUCCUCUUGACAAGGAAGUUAACUGGGGCGAUGAGCUAUCCCUUGGCGAGCAACAAAGAUUAGGAAUGGCCAGGCUGUUCUACCAUAAGCCAAAGUUUGCUAUUCUUGAUGAGUGUACUAGUGCUGUGACAAUUGAUAUGGAAGAACGUUUUUGCAAAAAGGUUCGAGCGAUGGGAACAUCAUGCAUAACAAUAUCUCAUCGCCCAGCGUUAGUUGCAUUUCAUAAUAUUGUUUUGUCAUUGGACGGUGAAGGAGGGUGGGAUGUUCAGCACAGAAGGGAUGACUCAUCCUUUUACACUGAAGAGUCUGAACUUACAUCACUGGAAACUGAACGUAAAUCGGAUGCCCUAACUGUUCAAAGGGCUUUUAUGAACAGGGCAAAGAGCAAUGCUUCAUUAAGAUCCAAGGAUUUCUACUCUACAAAGGUCAUAGCAAAUUCCCCCAAGUUGGAAACAGGGCAAACAGUACGAACACCUGUAAUCCCACAUUUGCAAUGCUCCCCAAGGCCUCUCCCUCUGAGAGCAGCUGCAAUGCUCAAAAUAUUGGUUCCUAAAUUACUGGACAAACAAGGAGGGCAGUUGCUUUCUGUUGCUCUACUUAUUUUCUCUCGCACCGUGAUCUCGGAUCGUAUUGCUUCACUGAAUGGGACUACUGUGAAGUUUGUCUUGGAGCAGGAUAAAGCUGCUUUCGUUCGGUUGGUUGGCGUCAGUGUUCUGCAGAGUGCUGCAAAUUCUUUCGUCGCACCAUCUCUGAGAACCCUUACUUCAAGACUUGCCCUUGGAUGGCGAAUUCGCUUGACCAACCAUUUGCUUCAAUAUUAUUUGAGAAGAAAUGCAUUCUACAAGGUAUUCAAUAUGUCAGGUAAAAGUAUCGAUGCAGACCAAAGACUAACACUUGAUGUGGAUAAGUUGACCACUGACCUUGCUGGCUUGGUUACCGGAAUGGUAAAACCACUAGUUGACAUUCUUUGGUUUACAUGGAGAAUGAAGCUUUUGUCUGGCCGAAGAGGAGUUGGUAUAUUGUAUGCUUACAUGUUACUAGGAUUGGGUUUCCUGAGAGCUAUAUCACCCGACUUUGGCCAUCUUGCAAGUGAGGAACAAGAACUUGAAGGAACAUUCAGGUUCAUGCACUCGAGGCUGCGGACUCAUGCUGAAUCAAUCGCUUUCUUUGGUGGUGGUUCAAGAGAAAAAGCUAUGGUCGAGGCUAAGUUCAUGAAAUUGCUUAACCACUCAAAGGUUCUGUUGAGAAAACAAUGGCUUUAUGGUAUUGUUGAUGAUUUUGUGACAAAGCAACUCCCGCACAAUGUGACAUGGGGUCUGAGUUUGUUAUAUGCUCUGGAGCACAAGGGAGACAGAGCUUUGACUUCGACACAAGGGGAGCUCGCACAUGCUCUGCGGUUCUUGGCAUCAGUGGUGUCACAAAGCUUCAUAGCCUUUGGCGAUAUUCUUGAGUUGCACAAAAAAUUCCUUGAACUUUCUGGUGGGAUUAACCGGAUCUUUGAGCUCGAGGAGACUCUGCGUGCAGCUCAAAAGGAUGCUCUGGUGCCUUCCAGUGCCAUUAGUGCAGCCUCAGACGAAAUUAUUGAAUUCCAUGAAGUGGACAUUGUAACACCAUCGCAGAAGCUAUUGGCUAGGAAGCUGUCAUGCAGUGUGGUACAAGGGAAAAGCCUUCUUUUGACUGGCCCCAAUGGUACCGGGAAGAGCUCUGUUUUUAGGGUGCUCAGAGAUUUAUGGCCUGCCUUUUCUGGGAGAGUUACCAAGCCCUCUGAAGGGAUGUUCCAUGUUCCUCAGAGUCCAUACACCAGCUUGGGAACCCUUCGGGAUCAGAUCAUAUACCCUAUGUCAAGGGAGGAAGCAGAGAUGAAGAUUCUUUCAUUAUAUAAAGCUAGCAACAGGUCUAGUGCUCCUGAGUUGCUAGAUGACCACCUGAAGACGGUUCUUGUGAAUGUCCGGUUGGUCUACCUUCUAGAGAGAGAAGGUUGGGACUCUACCCCAAACUGGGAAGAUGUUUUGUCGCUGGGAGAACAGCAGAGGCUUGGGAUGGCUCGUUUGUUCUUCCACCAUCCAAAAUUCGGCAUCCUCGACGAGUGCACAAACGCUACGAGUGUUGAUGUUGAAGAGCAUCUGUACAGGCUAGCAACAAACAUGGGCAUAACUGUGAUCACUUCAUCACAAAGGCCUGCUCUUAUACCCUUCCACUCCGUGGAGUUGAAGCUCAUCGACGGCGAGGGAAACUGGGAGCUGUGCGAGAUCCAGCACUGA
rnacentral:rRNA from 1 species